UGGAGCUGGGGGAUUUUGUGCAGCUGGCCUGAGAAACAGUUCCAGCACUUGAGUGUGAACCAGGAGGGAGCAUGAAGAGGAUGAAAGGUCCCUGAAGGGAAGCCAGAGUCUCUCAGACUACAAAGGAAUCUGGAAGGAUUUGAUAGCUGAGGCUUUUCUUGUCGCAAGAACAAAGGAUUUAUACUGAAAUGCAACUUUCUGAAGCUGAGCUCUACAUUUGGACUCCAUAAAGUAUUCUCUUAUGUAUUCUGAUAGCUGAAGAGCAAGCAUACGUUGUCUCUGGAUUGGGACUUUUGAUGAAGUCCUGGUGUGGAGCUUUGUUCCAAAUGGAACUGAAGGGGAUUUCUUCUAACUGUAACGUGGAUUUUCUCUGGGGUGCAAAUUCUGCUGUUCAACCAGUGCCAACGAAUAAGCUGUCAGAAGUUCAACACAGCAGAUUGCUUUUUUUUUUUUCUUUUUCCCCCUGUGUUCACAUGGGUGUACUACACAGUAUUGUAAAGUAAAUCCCUGGGCUGCUCCAACUAACGUGCUCCAGUUUCGUUGGCAUUUGGCCUACUAUUUCAGAAAGGAAAAUGUCACUUCUGACCUAAAUAAGAUUUUGCUUCUCAGAGGCUCUGGGGUGAAAACCUGCUUCCAGUUGAAACCUAGAGGCUGUGCUUGCAUGGAUUAGAGUGGAGUCAGCUCCAUGUUUUCAGUGUAACCGUGAGCCAA